GGGGAUUGGGAGUGGUGAAUGUCGCGCCGGCGGCCUCAGCCUGCACACGCGAGCCGCGUCUGGCUGCAGGUACCAGCUCUGUCGGCAAUGGCAGCGUCCAGGGCGACGGCGGCAGCGCUGCUGGUGCUGCUGGUCACAGCGGCGCCGGCCCUUCUGACCGGCCCACCGGACCCUCCGCCGGAUCCGACUUCUGCCGAGGGGUGCCGGGCGGCGGGCGCCCUGUGCCUGGCCCGGCCCGGCCCCGGACAGCCGGCCUGCCCGCGCUGGCAGCGGCCCUUCGCCGGCAUCUGCGGGCCCGCGGCCGACUGCUGCUUUAUCGAGUAUUGGAACCACGCGCUGGUCUGCGGCCUGUUUGGCGGGGACUGCGCGCCCGUGGCCAGCUGCGGGGGCGCGCCUCGGCAUCGGAACGCCUUCUGCGCGCGGCCCGGUGACACCUGCUGCAUCUGGCUCUACUAGCCCGGUGACACGUGCUGUAUCUGGCUCUACUAGCCCGGCGACACCUGCUGCGUCUGGCUCUACUAGCCCGGCGACACCUGCUGCGUCUGGCUCUACUAGCUGAUAAAUCGACUCUUCUUCCUAACACCGAAAACAGAACAUAGGUACCAAGAUUCUCCGAAGAAAAAAAAAAAUGAUGAAAAUCUUAUGAACCUGUCGUCGGUAACUAUAUUGUCGCUGUGUUUUAUUUUCUGUUAUGGGGGCCACGGAUUUCAGUUUUCUUUUAGAAGCCCAUAUCGACAGGCGUUUUUUCGUUAGGUAAAUCAACGGGAGUCUUACUGAUGACUGUUCGCAAUCACACGCGCUGUGAGAAAAUCACGGUCGCGGUGGGCGGGACCGGCGCUGCCACCUUCGGUGACCGUGCCACGAUCGCGGUGGAUGCGACCUGCAUCACUGCCUCUGGCGGCGCAAGGCUCGCUGCAACACCACGUGCAGCGGCGGUGAGGACCGAGGCCGGAACCGUGGUGAGACCGUACCGCCCGCACGCACCGGCCAGGCGGCAUGGUGUCGCAACCUACGCACUGGCCACUGACCGACCUUCGCCCGACCUCUCGGGACGUGACGAUGAACCCGGAACGGAGCGCGAGGAGAUGACUUUCGCCCGACCCUGGGGCCGCGGUGGCGAGACCGGCCCGGCGCGCGAGGUCACGACUUUCACGCCGCACAGCUGCGCCACGUGAAGUGCGCGCUUCUCCGACGUUUAGA